AAUCGUACUGUGGUAAAGUAAGCGUCUCAUAUACAGUAUAUUGUUAAAAACACCAAAUAUUGAUUGAUUGAUUUACCUGAGCUGCCACAGGUAAAGAUGAGUCAGUGCUUCCUCCCUUUAUAUCUGCAACACAAUGUUAUCAGAAUCCAUGAAUGAAACCAGAGAGCAGAUGUUCUGUUCAUUCAGAUUUUUUUCUUAAUCUUGUCUUAUCAAGCUCCGUAUGUGUGUGUACGUGUGGAUUUGUACCGGAGGAGGUUGAGCCUCCUGUUCUCCUCUUGCAGCUGAUGGAGAGACUUCAGCAUGCCCACCACUGAGAACGAAUACGAGAGCAAACAGACAUUUGACGAAAAACCUAAAACGAGGAUGGAUGCUGCAACAAGACACUGAUCCAAAACACAGAAGUAAAUCAACUUCAGAAUGGUUUCAGAAGAACAAAAUACAUGUUCUGGAGUGGCCAAAUCAAAUUCUAGACUUGAACCCCAUUGAGAUACUGUGGCAUGACCUAAAGACAGCGAUUCAUGCCAGACAUACCAGGAAUCUUACUGAACUAUAGCAGUUUUGUAGAAAAGAAUGGGCCAAGAUUAGUCCUGAUCGAUGUGCCGGACUGACCUGCAGCUACAGGAAGCGUCUGGGGGACAAAAUAUUAGAUGUGAUGGUUCACUUACUUAUUUUUCCCCAAUGUCAUUGUUUGCAUGCUAUCCUCAUUAAAAUAUGAAAACCAAUAAAUGUUUGGGUGGUUUCAGUUGAAGCAGACACUGUUUUUUCAUCUGUGUGAUUUUGACAAAGAUCAGAUCACAUUUGAUGGU